rnacentral:rRNA from 1 species
AGUCCAUGCCGUAAACGAUGUGUGUUAGACGUUGGAAAUUUAUUUUCAGUGUCGCAGGGAAACCGAUAAACACACCGCCUGGGGAGUACGACCGCAAGGUUAAAACUCAAAUGAAUUGACGGGGACCCGCACAAGUAGUGGAGCAUGUGGUUUAAUUCGAAGAUACGCGCAGAACCUUACCAACACUUGACAUGUUCGUCGCGACUCUAAGAGAUUAGAGUUUUCGGUUCGGCCGGACGAAACACAGGUGCUGCAUGGCUGUCGUCAGCUCGUGUCGUGAGAUGUUGGGUUAAGUCCCGCAACGAGCGCAACCCUCACUUUUAGUUGCCAUCAUUAAGUUGGGCACUCUGAAAGAACUGCCAGUGAUAAGCUGGAGGAAGGUGGGGAUGACGUCAAGUCCUCAUGGCCCUUACGUGUUGGGCUACACACGUGCUACAAUGGUAUUUACAACAGGAAGCAAGACUGCGAAGUUAAGCAAAUCCCUAAAAAAUACCUCAGUUCGGAUUGCACUCUGCAACUCGAGUGCAUGAAGCUGGAAUUACUAGUAAUCGUGGAUCAGCGUGCCACGGUGAAUGCGUUCCCGGGUCUUGUACACACCGCCCGUCACACCAUGGGAGUUGGUUCUACCUUAAGGCAAGGUUUAAAACCCUUGACCACGGUAUAGUCAGCGACUGGGGUGAAGUCGUAACAAGGUAACCGUA